GACGUAGGAGGCGAGCGUUGUCCGGAGUUACUGGGCGUAAAGCGCGCGCAGGCGGCCCUGUGCGCUGCCGGUGAAAGCUCCCGGCUUACCUGGGAGAGGUUCGGCAGGACGGCAGGGCUGGAGGGUGGGAGAGGUCGGUGGAAUUCCCGGUGUAGUGGUGAAAUGCGUAGAGAUCGGGAGGAACACCCGUAGCGAAGGCGGCCGACUGGACCACACCUGACGCUGAGGCGCGAAGGCCAGAGGAGCGAACGGG
rnacentral:rRNA from 1 species